rnacentral:rRNA from 1 species
UACGGAGGGGGCGAGCGUUAUUCGGAAUUAUUGGGCGUAAAGGGCGCGUAGGCGGCCUUGUAAGUCAAAGGUGAAAUCCCUCGGCUCAACUGAGGAACUGCCUUUGAAACUGCAAGGCUUGAGGCCGGGAGGGGGUAGCGGAAUUCCCAAUGUAGCGGUGAAAUGCGUAGAUAUUGGGAGGAACACCAGUGGCGAAGGCAGGUCUCUGGGCCACUACUGACGCUGAGAAGCGAAAGCAUGGGGAGCGAACAGG